UUUAAAGGGCUUCACUGCCUUGGCUCCCUGUGGGCCGCAGAAUCUACACCACCACCCAGGCCCCUUGUGAGCACCUUGACUUCUCCACAAUGUAGGUUUUCUGAGGCUUCUCUUCUAGAGCCAGGUCCCACUACACCACAGCAUUUCCAUGAGAUCUGAGGCUCACCCCAACCCUGUGGAUCUCCUCUCUUUACAGCCCUGUCGCCCCACUGAAAUGCUCCCCACUACAGCUUCUCCUCAGCCCUGCAAUGGGUUGCUUCCUGUCCCCACAAAUUGUACUUUUCUGUCUCCUUGGAAUUGGGAGCACCACCCACCAGUCCUCUGUUGGAACCCCAGCUUCUUUCCUUCCAGGUAGACGAGGACUGAGCUCUGGAUAACUGGAAUACCGGCCACCCCAGAGGUGCCUGGUCAGCCGGACCUCUCCACCUCCUUGGAGGCUAGAAAAUGGGCAGAAAGCCAGGUUUUUCCGCCAUCCCAGGCACCCUUUUGCUAGGAUAUGAGUGAAUCUUUACAGUCCCUGCUUUCGUGGACCAAUGGCCAAGCAGCCUUCCCCACUUGGCCCUGGGUUUGGCUGGUACGCCCUGCAGAACAGCUGCCUGGGACUGUCUCUCCCUCUUCUGAGGAGGACUGUAUGCAGGGAUCCACUACUCCAUCUGCCCCUCCUUUGGCCAGAAUGUCGGUGGGACCUAGGUCCUCUUCGCACAAGACCUGAAGACCUGCAGACACACUUACCUCUCAGAGGUCCGUGGGAGGUCUCAGCCACUUGGGAGGCUGAAGUGAGAGGAUCGCUUGAACCCAGGAGAUCAAGGCUGCAGUAAGCCAUGAUCGUGCCACUACACUCCUGCCUGGGGGACAGAGUGAGACCCUGUGUCAAACAAACAAAAAACACAGCCGGAUGCAGUGGCUCACACCUGUAAUCCCAUCACUUUGGAAGGCCAAGGUGGACGGAUCACUUGAGCGCAGAAGUUUGAGACCAGCCUGGGAAACAUGACAAAACCCAGUCUCUAACAACAACAACAAAAAUUAGCUGGAUGGUGGCACGUGCCUGUAGUCCCAGCUACUCAGGAGGCUGAGAUGGGAGAAUCACUUGAGCCCGGGAGGUUGAGGCUGCAGUGAGCCGAGAUUGAGACACUUCAGUUGCCUGGAUGACAGAGCAAGACCCUGUCUCAAAACACUCCACAUUUCUUUGGCACCCUACUUGCUAGAACAAUCUGUGAAUUGCAUGGCGAGGAUGGAGAGUGAGAUAGCUGGAGAUUUCCUCUACUGAUCCUAAAAUGCUUACCUUG
rnacentral:lncRNA from 1 species